rnacentral:lncRNA from 1 species
GGCGCCAUUCGUAGCGGGCCAGUAAGAAAAGAGACAAAAGGUGAGUUUCCAUGCCUUGGGAAAAGAGGAACUUCAAGGGACCUGACCAAGCAAACCGUCAACAGUGUAGGGCCAACCCAGAGCCCAGGAUCCUGUGAACCUACAACUUUCUCCUUCUUCACAGACUGCUGAAAUCAGUAUUGGAAGCGGAUUCUGCUGAGACCUUGGCGGCAAGUGCUCUACCACUGAAUGUACCCUCAGCGCCAUACAAGGAAGGGAGAAAGCCUACACCAUGGCAGACUAAUAUGGCUGCACUGGGCUAGGACGUGGCAGUCAACGACAAUGCCAACAUUGUGUUGUGGUAA